GGGAAACAAGAAACACGUAAUCACCCAAAUAACCGUUUUAGUCCUUUCCCCCUGGAUUUGUGUCUUAAGAUAGCCUACAGUAUAUACUUCAAAGGAUACUCCGGAGGCCACGAGACUGUUCCAAUGGGACUUGAAGGCGGCCCAGAGUGUCGGAGUGAAAGGCAGGGGGCGGUGGAACAAACACAAUGGGCUGACCUUCAGCCUGCAUCUGCUCAGAGAACACACUAAAUGGUCACAUUGAUGCUCAUGUUUAGCUCUUUGCUAAGGGGCCUGAUGGAGCCGACAGUCAUCGGGGACACAGUGAGGGUCUGGGC
ensembl:lncRNA